rnacentral:lncRNA from 1 species
AAACAGUCACAGAAGUUUGGUGUAGGCUCCUGCCUGGCCUUCUCUUGUGAAACUGUCCCACCCAUGCUAGCGUAGAAGGUGGAUGUUAAAUGAUGAUGACGAUGAUGUAUGUGUUUCUCCCCCACCACUGUAGUUAUAAGAUUUGGGGGAUAAUUGGUUACUGUUUCUAGCAGAUCCAAUGACCAUGUUGAGGCUUCUUUGUUGGCAUGAUUCUGUCCUUGUCAUAUAUGUAGAAGAUUUGAUGCCGUUUAUGAAUGUCUUUUGAGUUAGAUUCUUCCUGAUUACUUACAGACUGUAAUAUGCUUGUGUGUGUGUGUUCAAAAAUUCUCCAUUCUUAAAACAAGAAUAAGAAGUAAGACAAAGAAAGGAAUAUGAAUGUAAAGUGUGAGAUAGAUAGAUAGAGAGAGAGAUAAAUAGAGAGAGAGAGAG